rnacentral:tRNA from 2 species
GGUCGCGUGGCCGAGCGGUUAGGCAGAGGUCUGCAAAACCUUGUACAGCAGUUCGAAUCUGCUCGCGACCU